UGGCGGACGGGUGAGUAACGCGUGGGUAACCUGCCUUGCACUGGGGGAUAACACUUAGAAAUAGGUGCUAAUACCGCAUAAGCGCACGGGUCCUGCAUGGGACAGUGUGAAAAACUCCGGUGGUGCAAGAUGGACCCGCGUCUGAUUAGCUGGUUGGCGGGGUAAAGGCCCACCAAGGCGACGAUCAGUAGCCGGCCUGAGAGGGUGGACGGCCACAUUGGGACUGAGACACGGCCCAAACUCCUACGGAAGGCAGCAG
rnacentral:rRNA from 1 species